rnacentral:rRNA from 1 species
UACGGGGGGGCAAGCGUUGUUCGGAAUUACUGGGCGUAAAGGGCUCGUAGGUGGCCAACUAAGUCAUACGUGAAAUCCCUCAGCUUAACUGGGGAACUGCGCCUGAUACUGGUUGGCUUGAGUUUGGGAGAGGGACGCGGAAUCCAGGUGUAGCGGUGAAAUGCGUAGAUAUCUGGAGGAACACCGGUGGCGAAGGCGGCGUCCUGGACCAAUACUGACACUGAGGAGCGAAAGCCAGGGGAGCAA